rnacentral:ncRNA from 1 species
GCUGACAACUUGGGGUGCCCUAAUUUUCAGGGCUGAGAAUCAUACCCAUUGAACCUGCUCUUAGUUAGCACUAGCGAAGGGAAUUGUUGUGGCUAACCCAA